rnacentral:rRNA from 1 species
UACGGAGGGGGCUAGCGUUAUUCGGAAUUACUGGGCGUAAAGCGCACGUAGGCGGAUUGGAAAGUCAGAGGUGAAAUCCCAGAGCUCAACUUUGGAACUGCCUUUGAAACUUCCAGUCUUGAGGUCGAGAGAGGUGAGUGGAAUUCCGAGUGUAGAGGUGAAAUUCGUAGAUAUUCGGAGGAACACCAGUGGCGAAGGCGGCUCACUGGCUCGAUACUGACGCUGAGGUGCGAAAGCGUGGGGAGCAAACAGG